CCCUUAGAUGUCCGGGGCUGCACGCGCGCUACACUGAAGGAAUCAGCGUGCUAAAACCAUUGUCGAAAGGCAUUGGUAAACCCAUUAAAAUCCUACGUGAUUGGGAUCGGGAAUUGCAAUUAUUUCCCUUGAACGAGGAAUUCCCAGUAAGUUUGGGUCAUAAGCUCGCGUUGAUUACGUCCCUGCCCUUUGUACACACCGCCCGUCGCUGCCCGGGACUGAGCCGUUUCGAGAAAAGCGGGGACUGCUGCUGUCGGGGCUUUCGGGCCUUGGCUUCGGUGGAAACCGCUUUAAUCGCAGUGGCUUGAACCGGGCAAAAGUCGUAACA
rnacentral:rRNA from 1 species